CCUACGGGGCGCAGCAGUGGGGAAUAUUGCGCAAUGGGGGAAACCCUGACGCAGCAACGCCGCGUGCGGGAUGAAGGCUUUCGGGUUGUAAACCGCUUUCAGCAGGGAUGACUUCGACAGUACCUGCAGAAGAAGCCCCGGCUAACUACGUGCCAGCAGCCGCGGUAAUACGUAGGGGGCGAGCGUUAUCCGGAUUUAUUGGGCGUAAAGCGAGUGCAGGCGGUUCAAUAAGUCU
rnacentral:rRNA from 1 species